UAAUUAUACCUGGUACAAGGAGAAUGAAGACUCACCAAAAGCAUCAGGACAGAACUUCACCAUCACUGACUUCAGAGCUGAACACAGUGGGAAUUAUUACUGUGAAGCCCAGAACAGAAGAGGACGUCAUAACUCCACCUUACAUCUGACUGUUGUGGCAGGGAAUUCAACAAUAGUCAUGAAUAUCAUCAGGUUGACUCUGGUGGUCUUGAUGCUGAUUCCUCUGCUUCUCCUGAAUCUGUGGACGAGGAAGAAGAAAACUCGGAGCUCCACCUCUGAACCAAAUGAACCUGUAGAGAUGAUAGAGUUAGACUCUGAUCCUGCGUAUGUCAGUGUCUCAGACUUUAAGAGCGUCACUGCAGCACAGACAGAAGACACAGAGCAGCAGGAAGACAUGGUGUGAAGUCCAGUCAGUUGCAGUUGAAGCAGACUCACCUCAUGGUAGGACGGCAUUGAAACAUCACAGUAGAGCGAGUCUGUGGAGGAAGUGGAUCCAUUUGCCUUCAACUCCAAAAGUUUUCCUUUUCAGUUCUCAGUAGCAGCAGCAGGGUGGAGUCAGCAGCACAGACAGUCAGCAGCAGCAUGUAGCAGAAAAUCCUGACAAGCUUCUGUGUGCAGCUA